AGAACGAACGCUGGCGGCAUGCCUAACACAUGCAAGUCGAACGCUUCCGGGGCUUCAGUCGCGGAGGAGUGGCGCACGGGUGAGUAGCGCGUGGGAACCUGCCCUGUUGUGGGGGAUAACCGAGGGAAACUUCGGCUAAUACCGCAUACGCCCCGGGACUUGGUCUUCGGAUUAGGUCUGGGGGGAAAGAUUGAUCGCAGCAGGAGGGGCCCGCGUCGGAUUAGCUGGUUGGUGGGGUAACGGCUCACCAAGGCGAUGAUCCGUAGCUGGUCUGAGAGGAUGAUCAGCCACACUGGGACUGAGACACGGCCCAGACUCCUACGGGAGGCAGCAGUGGGGAAUAUUGGACAAUGGGGGCAACCCUGAUCCAGCAAUGCCGCGUGAGUGAUGAAGGCCUUAGGGUUGUAAAGCUCUUUCGCCCGCGACGAUGAUGACGGUAGCGGGAGAAGAAGCCCCGGCUAACUUCGUGCCAGCAGCCGCGGU
rnacentral:rRNA from 1 species